AAAACGUAGAAAAAGAAGCAUGGCAACAACUGGCACAAAGCAAAGAAGAAGAAACAUGGUAACAAUCGGAAGACCAUAACACAGCAUGGAAGGGGAUUUACAGGACGGGGGAAUGAUGGAGGUCUUGGGACCAUUGUUAACAGAAAAAGGCAGAA